rnacentral:rRNA from 1 species
UACGUAGGGUGCAAGCGUUAUCCGGAAUUAUUGGGCGUAAAGAGCUCGUAGGCGGUUUGUCGCGUCUGCUGUGAAAACUGGAGGCUCAACCUCCAGCCUGCAGUGGGUACGGGCAGACUAGAGUGCGGUAGGGGAGAUUGGAAUUCCUGGUGUAGCGGUGGAAUGCGCAGAUAUCAGGAGGAACACCGAUGGCGAAGGCAGAUCUCUGGGCCGUAACUGACGCUGAGGAGCGAAAGCAUGGGGAGCGGACAGG